UACAGAGGGUGCAAGCGUUGUUCGGAAUUAUUGGGCGUAAAGCGCGUGUAGGCGGCUUUGCAAGUCGGGUGUGAAAGCCCUCAGCUCAACUGAGGAAGUGCGCCCGAAACUGCAGAGCUUGAGUGCCGGAGAGGGUGGCGGAAUUCCCCAAAGUAGAGGUGAAAUUCGUAGAUAUGGGGAGGAACACCGGUGCGAAGGCGGCCACCUGGACGGUAACUGACGCUGAGACGCGAAAGCGUGGGUAGCAAACAGG
rnacentral:rRNA from 1 species